UACAGAGGGUGCGAGCGUUAAUCGGAAUUACUGGGCGUAAAGCGCGCGUAGGCGGCUUUUCAAGUCGCGUGUGAAAGCCCCCGGCUCAACUGGGGAGGGUCACGCGAUACUGCUCGACUCGAAGGCAGGAGAGGGAAGUGGAAUUCCCGGUGUAGUGGUGAAAUGCGUAGAUAUCGGGAGGAACACCAGUGGCGAAGGCGACUUCCUGGCCUGUUCUUGACGCUGAGGCGCGAAAGCUAGGGUAGCAAACGGG
rnacentral:rRNA from 1 species